ACGGGGGAGUUUCUGCGGUUCUGUAUAGGAGACGGAGCGAGCUCCGUUCCUUUGCUCGGCGCUGGGGCUGAGGAGCGGCUGCUGUGAGACCUUUUGCGGUAAGGACCAGCCCAAACAGGAAAGACAGACUGGCCAGGUGGUGGAGUCUCUCUUCCAGCGAGAGAACAGGAACGUACUGAGCUCUCCCUAGGGAUGAAUGAAGAACCAGUGGAGCGUUUGCAUGUGAGGCUGAAGAGGCAGGAGAGGUGUGUGAAGACUGGAGGAUAGCUGAUGUCACCACAGCCUUCAGAAAAGGUGUCAUCUGCAAGUGGCUGGAAGAGAAGGAAUUUCUAAGGAGCAGUCAAGGCAAUUUCUAUGGAGGGGAAUUCAUGCUGGACCAAAAGGUAGUGUUGUGUGUUGUCUUGAUUGUGCAGUUAGAUGAGAGGAGGGCAGCAGACUGGAGCAACUGAUGUGCGAGAGCCCAAUUGAUGGGGAUGGGUGGCAUGUGGUAGUAUGGGGGCAGUGUGCAUGUUCUGUAACACCAGAGUUUCUGUGCAAACAGAAAGAAGAAAGAUUUCUGUGUGAGAGGGAUGGGAGAGGGUGCCUGGGGAGGUUGUGAAGUCCAGUUCCCUGGGCCCCAUUCCAGUUGUGUGUGGGCGCUUUGCAGUGGGGCCUUGGCAUUCUGUCUGGCUGUGUGAUUUGUGCUCUUGUUGCAGGGCGAAGGCUGCAGAGGAGAGCUUUGCAGAGAGGAUUGGCUGGAACAGGGUGGAAGGUCAUGCCCUGAAGGAGGGGAGUUAAGGGAGAGUGGCCCUUUCCAGCUGGAGCUGGGGGUCCUGAUGUCCUGUGGGGAAGAUGCAGAUCCUGGGAGCUGCGACCAGGAGGAGGAGCGGAGCCAGCAGUGGCUCCUGUGUGGUGAUGGCUGCUUAGUGGUGGUGGUCCUGGUCCUGGGCUGAAAGGAGGAGGAGGAGAAAGCUUUUAGUGUGUUACUUCAAAGCUCAGUUUCCCUUCAGCAAGAAGCUAUGGGGAGCUUCUAGGUCUAAUGCUGUUCCUCUGCUUUUGAGCUGAAUUUCUGCACGGCAGCCUUUCUCGAAUGCAGUAGGGCUUCCCUGGCUUGAAGAUGGGUGUGCUGUCCUGAGGGAGGAGCAGUGUUGACUGUCUUACAGUGACCUUCUGCUUUCCUUUAAGAAGAGUCCACUGAGAACUGUAUCGGGUUUCUCAGUAGGUAACUCAGGAGAGGGCUUCUCGGUGAAAUCCUUUGUGUUGAAUUGCAGUAAGUUGAGUAUGUGAACCUUCCUCCCAAACUGAGACCGAAAGCCAGCAAAAAUGACAAAUAUGUUGUACUCUUUCCCUUUAUAACAAAAGAUGUGGUACUUCACUGGGGUUGCGCCUUUGUGUUCAAUGUUUGUAUGCAGUAUAUUGUAUCCUCAUGUGGGAGUCUGCUGUUAUUAACUGCACUUUGGAUUAGUUAAUAAUCCAGUUGCGCUAUGACAGAAGUGCAGCAGCUGGAUAAUGCAGGAUAGAAAAUGGAGUUGACAGAGAUGCAAAACUACUCUCCUACUGCCUUGACUUGAACUGUGUCUCAGUGUGCUAUUACUCUGACUCAUUAGUGCAAGCAGAUGUGUACCAUGAGGAAGGGCUGUUGUCUGAUGUGGGAUUUAGUUCUUGGGCCUGCUUUCCUGACAAGGGUUUUCUUUACCUACUCCCAUGGAUGAUACAUGCUUUGAACUAGACCAGAGGAUAAGACUUCCUGCUUUUUAAACCCAGGCUUUCUCUUGAGCAGGAGGCUGUCACUGGAACACACAGGAACAGUUAGAGCAAUUACUGAAUUGGACUGUCUGAGCUGAAAGUUGAUGGUGCAUCCCUCUGGUAGAGGGAAUGCAAAAAAGAGCGGUCUCGAAUCAGUAGUGAGUUUAUUGCUGAAGAGCAAAGAUUUAUCUCACCCUAAGCUGGGAGUUUUUCACUGCCACAAGCCCAGUCCUGUCACUAUGCCCUGCCCAGUACCACUAUGACUGCCUUCUACCACUAACAACCGGAAUGGCUGAGCAAGGAGUACUGUUUGCAGCUAGGAAGCCUAAAACAAAACGUGUUUUGUGGGGGUGCAUGUUCAGAAGAGAGCUUCCACCAUGCGUAUCCGUCCUUAUAAAGUAUCUUUCCUUAUCAAUACCAGUACGGACUCCCUUUCACUGUCUCUUUUAGCUGGAGACCUGGGCUGUUCAUCUGUGUUCCUCCAUCUACGCUGAGAAGAAAGGGUUUCCUGUCUCUUCUUUUAAAAUUUUGUUGUUAUAACAAGUAACAAAUAAAAGCCCUAAUCCAUAAUUCAAGGGAGCUUGGCAACUGUGUUUGACUGUGAGUGGUUCCAGAAGUCUAACCUUUGUUCUUCUGUCAUUCAUAUUGAACACUGAUCCCUAGUUGCACAGCACACAAGGAAGCUCUAACCUUCUCCAGUUUCUACACUCACUUGAAGUAAUUAUGGCCAUAGUCAUUUCCCUUCCACAUCAACAUUGGUUACUGUACUGAGCAGACAAAUCCCUUCCCCCAAACCUAUGUGGCUGCAUGACAAACCACAAGGACACCUUGUUUAAGAAGAAAUAACAAUACAAAUAAGCCAUCCAGGGCUAAAAUGAGGUCUUUCAAACUUGAUGUGAUAUGUUUGUUCUCAGGGGUUCAUGUAGUCUUGUGUACUUGACACAGCAAAAAACAGUAGCAGAAGCAGUGAAACUAAGGAAAGAGGAAGGUUUCAGAUAUCACCUUGCAAAGCUCAUUGCUUACAGCAUAAGCUCUUCACCCUACCUCGACACACGGGCCUUGGAGAAGUCAGGCACAAGCGCUUAUCCUUCUAAAUGCCUUUCCCAAGAGCUGAAACCCCACAACCUUCACAUGCCUAGCAAAAGUGCACAGGAAUGGGUCUCCAAGGAGGAAAAGCGAGCUCGCCCGUCCGUACUGCCAGGGAAGACAGUGGUGGAAACUGUUGGGCUGAUGCCCUCUUAUGUUGUUUUCAAUGCUAGUCCGCUAAAGUAAGAUGAUCAAACAAAUGUACAUUCCUAAAGUCAUCCUCUGACUCACUGAACCCUCUUCUCUCUUUUUCCCCCUCUAACUCAGAGUAUUUUACUUUUUUGUCCUAAACAAAAAUUAUCUAGGAAAUAUCCUUUUCGGCAGCCCAAAUUGUUAACAGCACAGAACAUUCUCUGCUCACCUUAGUGAGGAAGCCUUAGUUCCAUUUAUCCCACAAAAGGUUCAUGCUGUUAAGAAGGCCUACCUGAAGAAACAGACAAGAAUUCCAGUAGAUUUGAGACAGGUGAAUUUGCCUCAAAGAUUUUUCAGGGAUCACAAGGCUAGACUUGCACCGAGAGGAAAUGAAGUUAGCCAAGCGGCAUUAUUUCAGACAGGUUCUGCUUCUGCAACAUUCGAUAUGCUUCACAGCUUUCAGUUAACUCGGGCAGAGGAGGCUCAUUAUGAAAUUACUACAUAAAAUUGAGUACAGCACUCCAUGUGCAGAAGAAAAAAGAAUUUUAUGUAUGUAUGUAUACACAUUCUGAAACGCUGAGUUAGAAAGGAGCAUGAAAGGAGCUCUUUAAGGAUGCCUUUCUGAGAGCACAAGAGUUCUCCAGCCCCCAGCAGUUCAGAUGAAACUGAUCUCGGCAGGAGAUUUAAAAACAAACAAACAAAAAACAGGAAGGGAUUUCUACAGGUACACUGCUCGCAGAAGAAAGGAACAAGGAAAGCAUACUCACUCUCAUAAGUGAGAAAGGGCAACGACAGACAGAGGGAAGGCUGAGGUGCUCAAGGAGCUCUUUACUUCAAUCUUUGCUGGCAGUCAGGAUUUUCAUAGCUCUCAUGUUCACAAACCUCCGGCCGGGGGCUGGAGCAUUCAAAUCCCUCACCCAGUAAGAGAAGAGCGAGUCUGAGACCACCCAAUGAGACUGAGUGCGUACAAGGCUAUGGGGCCUGAUAACACGCAUCCCAAGGGUCAGGACCUUGCUAGAUACGAGCUCAGACCAGGAGGAGAAGUCGUCACUGAGAUCAGCCCUGCAGAGAAGAACUUGAGGGUUCCAGCAUACUAGAAGCUCCGUGUGAGCCAGCAGAGUGCACUUCCAGCCCAGAAAACCAAGGGUAUCCUGGGCUGCAACAAGACAGGGAGGCAAUCGUCCCACCUCUACUCUGCCCUCACAGCGCUCUAUCUGGAGACCUGUGUCUGGGGCCCUCAGCAUGAGAGAGAACGCGGGGCUGAUGGAGUGGGUCCAGGGGAAGGCCACAAAGACGAGCAAAGAGCUGCACCACUCUUCCUAUCAUGAAAAGUUGACAGAAUUGCAAUUGCUUACCUAGGAGAAGAAAAUGCCUCAUUGUGGUUUCUAGUACUUGGAGGGAGCUUAUAAACAGGAGAAGGACCAACUUUUUACGGGGUAUGUGUAACACUGUAACAUGAUGGAAAGUACACCAUACAACAGCAGGGUGGCAAAGCCCAUGGCUGCAGCAAAUGAGAACAAGCCCAAGCACAACAGCAGCGGCUGUGGGUGUAGAAACAAACAAAAGCAGCUGCUUACCUUCAGAGGGCCUCAAGGAUAUAAGAAUCACCAGCAAGACACCCUCACCUCCACUGCUGACCCUUAAAUGAGGCCUGGGAAGGGGUGGAUCCUGGCUCCACCCCUCCCGGUCACUCAGCUGCAUUGAGUGCACCUGAGUUCCCCUGGGUUGGCCCUGCCUUCCCACCAGGUGCGCAAUCACCUGUGAUUCAAGCUGUGAUUUGGCAUUUCCACUAUGACCUGAUUGUGACAGGACAAGGCGGAAUGGCUUUAAACUAAAAGAGAGGAGAUUUAGGUUAGGUAUUAGGAAGCAGGAAUUUCUUUCUCGAGGUAUUGAGGCACUGACACAGGAUGCCCGGGGAGGUUGUGAAUAACUCGUCUCCGGAGGCGUUCGAGGCCAGGCUGGAUGGGGCUCUGGGCAGCCCAAUUGAGUGGGUGGCAGCCCAGCCCGUGGCAGAGGCGGUCGAGCUCGAUGAUCUUUGAGGUCUGAGCCAUGCUGUGAUAGAAACAAAUCAACAGAGGCCAAGCCAAUUGUUUGGUUGUUUGGUUUUCUGUUUUUUUUUUUGGUUUGUUUGUUUGUUUUGUUUUGUUUUUUACAUCACAUAGAUACUGGAACGUAAGCCAUUCCUAAGUUAAGAGAUGAGCACUGAUGUAGUUUUUGGUCAGCUUUUCUUUUGAUGACAUUCUAUUCAGCUUUGGAAAAGUAUUCAUUGCACAAGCAAUGCAUUCAUACCUCUGGCAAUUUUCAAGUUCUCAGCAAGGCAAAGUGUUCCAGUUAGUCAAUGGUCACAUUGCUGGACUCAUGUAUGGUUUAUUAACUUUUUCAAGCUCAUAUUCUAACAAGUAAAAAAAUACAGACCAUAAACUCCCCUUGAAAUACAACAGCACAGUUGGUAGAAGGACUAUAUAAACAAUAAAAUAAAUAAACAAAUAAAUAAAGCUGCACAACACAAACCUACAAAAUAAAUCACCCCUAUUGUCAAGGUAAGCGUAGAUAGGGUAUGUAAUAUCACAUAGGUUGCGUCACCAAUUCACUGCAGAAGCUUACCAGUUACCAUGGAAGUCAUGUUCUCUGGCUUCAUUUUGUAACAGUUUCCAGGUUAAUUGGCAGUGAGUAAUUAGUCACAGCUACUGAUUAAUUAAUUGAUUCUAAACUAGGUUAGAAGAAUUAAGGGACUGCUACCUAUUUCUUACUCUAGGGGAGACAGAUAUCGAGACGCGCGGUUCCGCUUUGUCCAGCAGUACCUAAAAGUGAACUGGCUUCCAUCACAACGAGAGCAAAGCUCAAAGCUACUUGUGUUCAAUCUACUUUUUCCAGUGAAGUGGCUGAGUGUCUGUGAAUGGUUUCUGAUGCUGCGGUGAGUUGGGCGCAGCUAUCAGACGCGCUCCCACCAGGCCAUUCUCUUGGUGCCCCUCUUCUUUGGGAACUGACGCUUGAAAUCUCUGGGCAACAAAAGAAUGAGGAGAUCGCUUACCAAAUCUGCUGUGAGAAAUAUAGACUGGGCUUGGGAAAUUUUACUGACUCUCAAGUAAAAUAAAUACUUACUAAUCUGAGUAGGAAAAAAAAAUUAUUUGCAGGAUUUCCUAAAUAAUAAUAAUAAUAAUAAUAAAAUAGUGUGACUUGGAUGCGAUAUUGGAAAGAGAGCACUUUAAUAUGAGUUUAUAAAAUGGAUAACAGGGUAGACCAUAGGUUUACGUCUCAAAAGCCUUGAAAAAUGAACACUGUCUAAAAGAAAGAAAAAAAAAAAAAAAAAGAGAAUGAAAAGUUAAAAAAAGCUCUUGUGAUCAACCGGUCACAUAUUUCAGUGAGAAACUCCACAGGAAAGUUGGUUCCCCCUGCUUGCUCUGGCUGUGGGGUUAGAACCUCAUUUCCUGUAACCGAAGUCUUGUGAAUAAAAAUGUAGUCAAGCCUCUGCCCUUUAUCAUCUACAAAGAAGGCUGUGAAACUCUUUUGUCCCAUUCAACUCAUCAAAGAUACGCAGAGAACAUUUGAAUAAAUCUGCCAACAAACCAAGUUGUGUAAUAAAAUAAAAAUCUGGUUGCAUUAAAGUAACAGCUCACAAGCCUUCAGAGGAAAAUCAUGAGGCUGCCUGAUGAAAAAUCAAGUGCUUCGGGUGAGAGAAACCAGAAUUCUGACCAGAACUGAGAACUCCAGAUAAAGAUGGGAAAAUAAAAGAGUGAAUCUGUUACAAACUUGUCAGUGUCCUCAUGAGCACAUUUUCAAAAUCUAUGUCAUAUUCAACCGCAUUUGUUUCCCACUUUCUUUCAUGUCACCAUGCAAGCUGUAGGUAGAGAAGCAUAACCCCCUGCGACAAUGUUAAAAUCACCCAAAGAUGGAUUAGAUGGCAUUACAAUUCUUGUAAUGUUUUAUGUUAUUUUGAAUUGGGUAACACUCAGACGAUACACAACACUGAAGUAGCAGACUUCCGUUUCUUUGACAAACCUACCUUUCUCUAAAGUACGUUACCUAUACUCCGAGAGGGCUAUUCAGUCUCUUCAGCUGCUCACUAAGUAACCGCACGGUGAGCAGAGAGAAACAGGCCAAGCAUUCCUUUCACGCAACCUGAGAAAAUAAAGGAGGAAGAAUGCCAGGAAGAGGAGUACGUGAGCCCAACAAGCCUUCCAGAAAGAAGAAAUGGAGUGCAGAUAUAUGACAUGUAAAUGGAGUUCCAUUUUUAGCGUGCGGUCAGUGAUGUACGAGCUCGGAACUGAGCUCAUACCGUGUGAAAAAAAGGGAUGGCCGGAAAUUCACCGUGCUUCCACGUGGAAAAUCUCGGAAGAAAGCACGCUGUCGCUCACCUCAGCAGAUUUACAUCAGCAAGAAGACAUCUCCUUUUAGCAACUUGCAUCUGUUUUCUCAUCCUAGCAGUACAUAGCCAGUGUUUCAACUCGGGUGCCAUAAAUUAUUCAAAUUAGAAAAUGGGGCUCCAAAACCAGCAAAAAGAAAAGGAAAGACUAAGAUCAAACAAGGUGCCUAAAAUCCAGAAAUAAAAGCAUGCUCAGAGGCUAAGUGUGUAUUUGAGCACUUCAAAUUAAAGCGGCAUGAUUUAAAGCAAACAAGCAGAUAAAAAAAUACCAAUAGACAUAAGGCAGCUUGGUUGGAAACUGAUAAUCCAGGUUUUGACCUGCAAAUCUCACGGGUACACACUACUGUCGCCUUUGUUUUAAAUUGGUUGGAAUCAUUUUCACAGUAAGUUGUUGGAUUUCAGUUAAUUUUAUUCUUAUUUUUUUGGUUGUAGAUAAAGAUUAUUUUAAACAAUUAUUUAAAAAGAUAUGCACAAUUCUUUAUCAAAGUAUUCAGUAUUAAGAACGUCCAAUUUUACUCAGUGAAAAUUAAUGUUAACAAUAGGGUUUUCCUCUUCUUUAGUGGUUACUCAGCACAAUGCCUAUUAAAUCCACCUGGCUGUUUUGUAUUUAAGCGUAUCUGCGUUCUCCAUCUUUCAAUACCAAGCUUGAAAGUUUCCUGCCAGGAAUCUCUCUAAAGAUCUAUUUGAUCUUGGCUCGUUGCUCUGGAUUUGUAGCCAGCGUAAAACUGCCACCUUCAUUUGUCCUCAGAAAGUCGAGUUGAGAGUUGACUUUACUCUGUAUAGGGAAGUUAUUAAUUCUAUAACAUUUAUUGUUUUUUGGGUUUUUUAUUCUUGUUCUUUGUGUUUUUUUCUUGUAGAUGACAGAGAUCUCAAACAAAGGUCACUGUUUAAGACUGUGUGAUGUUCAACGGCAAAAUCUGGCACGCUCACCCAUAGCAGGGCACAUCUGAAUCAAUGUGAGACAUGAUUACAUUUAGUAACAUAAUACAUUACCUCCUCAAGAGUUUCUGCUAGAAUCCAGACUCUAAAUGAAGCUUUGGGUCCCUCACAUUGCCCUGUCAUGGGCCGUAAUGUCAUCUUUUAUCAUUGUAAUUUUCAAUUAGAUCAUGACGUUUAACAAGGGGAGUUGGAAAUUCUGGUUACCCAUGAAAAACUAUUAAAAGAUAGUGCCUGGAAAACAUAGAAGCCAUCCAAACACUCUUGGUGCUGUAGGAAAUAUGUCCCUGUGCAGCUCUCCCAUGGGAAGGGUGUCGUCGCUUCCAGGCUUUUGUGGCAAUCAGUACCUACGUGGCUGCUUAACAGGCAGAAGCCCUAAUAAUAAGCAUCCUAUUAGAAGAGCAGUAAAUGGUUCUGUCACUGCUUUGGAAAACGUUGAGACGAGGCAGCGUUUCCCCUCGUGGGAGACUCAGCAUCCCUCAAAAACAUCACUAACGUGUUCCUUCAGGUCAGCCAGGCCCCUAGCGCAUUGGUUUCUUAUUUGGAAUCCCAGCGAAACAGACUCGAGUGCCUCCCUGCAGAAGGUUGAUUUUGGGAGGCUCGUUCUCUUCAUUAGGUGAGAAUUUAUGCAUUGGAUGAAGGAAAGGUUACGGGUGAAAGUUGUCUGAAAACAUUCGUUUUUACAAACUGAAAAUAAGAUGAAGAGAAAGGAGGAAAAUAGCUUUAGUAGAACAUUUUUCAGCAGCGGUCCCUUGUGUAGAAAUACUUCCAACAAUCUGUAGUCUAAAGUUUGCUGUCUAAACCUCACGUUAGAGGAACAAGGUUCUGCUGGCUUUGGGAACAUCUCUGAAGCCACGUGUAACCUACCAUCACAGCGUUUUGAUGAGAGAGAAAACGGAUGAGCUUUAUUUCCCACUUAUUUACACCGGUGAAAAUCAGGAACUGUUUCUUGGCAGAAAAUGUUACCAAAA